rnacentral:rRNA from 1 species
CAGGAUGAACGCUGGCGGCGUGCCUAACACAUGCAAGUCGAGCGGGAAUCAUCUGAUUGAAACUUCGGUAGAUAGAGGAUGAGGAUAGCGGCGGACGGGUGAGUAACGCGUAGGUAACCUGCCCCUUACACAGGGAUAGCCUCGGGAAACUGGGAUUAAUACCUGAUAAUGCGAAGGAGUCACAUGGCUUCAUCGCCAAAGAUUUAUCGGUGAGGGAUGGACCUGCGUCUGAUUAGCUUGUUGGUGAGGUAACGGCCCACCAAGGCAACGAUCAGUAGCCGACCUGAGAGGGUAAUCGGCCACAUUGGAACUGAGACACGGUCCAAACUCCUACGGGAGGCAGCAGUGGGGAAUAUUGCACAAUGGGCGCAAGCCUGAUGCAAGCAACGCCGCGUGAGCGAAGAAGGUCUUCGGAUCGUAAAGCUCUGUCCUCAGGAACGAAGAAGUGACGGUACCUGAGGAGGAAGCCCCGGCUAACUACGUGCCAGCCGCUGC